GUGCCCCCUGAUUAGACCCCUCUUGUGGCAUGGUGGCUCCAUGUGAUGGCCAGGGAAGGUGCUGGGGCAUGCUGGGAACCUAACACAGGUCAGGGAAGGUCACAUGAGGUGAUCUCCUCCAUUGGUGGGGAGGGAGGAAACUGCACCAGUUUUCCCUGUAUAUGUGUGUGAAUCAAUUGUUUGUAGUUAUGUUUUGGAGGUGUAAGAGUUGCACACAGAUUGUGAACUAAAUAGGGGUCUUGUGCUCCUAAUCCAAGCAUUGUUGAAGGGAGAAGUGUGUAACAGUGACAUAAAAAAGGGACGGAAACUUAGUCCUGUCAUGGAAAACUUUUAUGCUCUGUAUGACUGGAAACUGCAGAACCAUAGGAUGUGGAUUCCACACUUUAUUUAAGUGCAUUUUACAGAGUAUCAACACAGUAAAAUCAUUUUUAGAUGUUUUCUUUUUAUGGCUCUUCUUUGGGAAACAAAGCAAUAACGACUGCAAACAAUGGUACUGUUUAAUACUGGAUGUACAAAAUGGUUUUAAAAAACCACACCACAACCCUGCAAUAUUUUCUUGUUUACUGUAAAGUAUCUUAAAAUAUGACAACAGCAUACCUGAGAACCAGAUAUUUGUAUUCAGAGAGCAGUAGCAGCAAUUCCAUAUUAGGUCUACAAAUAUGAUGGGAUAAAGCACAUAAUAUACUCAUCUUAAAAUUGCUUGCAGAAAGUAACUAUUACUCAUUAACAAAUAGCAGUAGUAGUUGCAUGUAGUUUUCCUUUGUACUAAUCAGAAACAUGUACCUAAAGAGCUGCCUGGAUAUUUUGUCAGGAACAGUUGAAGUCAGGGCUAAACAGCUGUUGCAAAUAUAUAAUUGAUGCAACCUGAACUCUUUUAAUCUAUUCACUCUUAGUGGUGCUAUAUUUUAAAGCUAUACGUAACAAUGAAGUAAACGGUUAGAGCACCUUUGAUGAGUUUAAUGUAGAAAAAAACAACAAAACUGGUUUUCGCCAGAAAAAAA